ACACAGCUGCUCUGUGCGAGUGCCGCACUGAAAACAGCAGAACAGCGAAUGUUUGUUCCCGAUGGCAGAGCAUCACUGAUGGGGAAACUGCUUCAUGUGCGGCGUAAUGUAGAAAAACGCACACGCAGCCUGAGAGCGCAUUUGGCACUUUCUUUCGACUCACGUUAGACUAAAAAUACCGGCCCAGACCGUGAAAUAGCCGCCUGCGGCCAUUAACACAGUUUUUCAGCUCAAACGGCUUUAAUUUCCACAGCUGAAUACUGUUAGCCAGUAAAACUUUAACAGUCCAGGCGUUUUGAGAACAUCCCGUUAUGUAACCGGACACCGCGCCGCUUGAAGGCACCGAAAAGCAUCUUUGUGACGGAUGGAAACUUGUUUCUCGGGAGUUAUUUACCAGCCGAGAUAAAUGAAAAAGGGGUAAACGUCUCACCAUGGAAGACUGUUCGCGUCUGCGAAGACAAACAAACAACAGAAGUAUUAUACUCACUCCUCUUCCCAUGGUGGCCGAGAUGUUGACUUUCUUCCCAGUUCAAGUAAAAAUUGAGAAACAGAAAUCCACCUUAGAAAUUAUGUACAAUUAAAAAAAAAACUUAAAUCAAAAUAAAACUCCUGGAUGUGACCGUUGUUG